AAAGUGAGCAAACAAGAAGAACAAAUUUACUAAAUAAAUUGUUUUAUAGGAAAUAUUUAAAAAUAUUUUGUAUUUUGUUUUCUAAGUGAACUAAACCUCAAACAUGAUGGUUAUCAGCUCAGGUCAUCUGCUGAUUAUUUGAACUCAAACCUUCUAAAGAUUAGUUAUAUAUGGUUGAUGAAUCCAGUAAUUAAUUCUAUGAGAGCUAUUUUCUAGGGAUAUAGUAUAAGGUCUGUAAUACUUGAUGAAUCAACAAUCCCUACUAUAUAAUAACUUUUUACAGACCCAAUUUGGGGUAAUCGGCUAAAUUAAUAAUUUUGAUAAAUUAAUAAAAUAAUUUUCUUUUGGGAGAACCCUUAUGUAAUUUUGUGGUUCCCUUCAUGUUAUAAAUUAAUAAUUUACUAAAAUUACAAAUAUAAUUGUUAUGUUAUUUUACUAAAUAGAAUAUUGCAACUAGAAGUUUUAGAAUUGAAUUCUCAAAUUUUAAUAAUUUUUUAGUUUAGUUUUUGGUUAAUUUAAUGUAUAAUUAGUGGACAUGUCCAUAUUUAGUUGAUUUAAUUAGGAUAGUACAAUGAAUUUUUAGUUGAUUAAACUUAUGUUCAUUAAGUUGUAAAUACACUCCAUAUCAAUAAAUUAUUAAAUUAUUAAUUUAUCAAUAAGUUAAUAACUUUUAAUUAGUACAUUGUAAAUGGCUCCAACCAAUUAAGAGGUUUUACCGCAUAAGGAUUUGUUUUCUCGUUCCAUUAUAUUUUCUGCAACCUGUUCAGGCAGGUGCUUUUCUAAAAGCAUUAUGUUUGAAACUACAAAAUAGGAAAAAUAUUUGUGAUUGCCUGAUUAUUACAUACUAUUGGGUCUUGAUUAUACCUUAAUGUCUUGUUAGUAAAGAAAUAAAUCCAACUAUGCAUUUCAGUUACGUAUUUUUCAGAAAGUAUCAGGCACCACCAACUAGUUUGAUAACAAUCUAAUUGUAUAAAGAUAGAGAUUUUCAUUUCCAAUAAACUAUUGAAGCCAAUGGUAAGAAAUGAUGAAGGAUUUGGAAAUGAUUAUUGUCUUGGGUCAGUGCUCUCCUAAUUGAUUUUCUUCAUAUAGUACAUGCAUUCCCCUAUAAAUACAUUAACUAGUUUCCCAAGUUUUAAAUCUUAGUAUAAGCAUAGAGAGAGAGUCUAACAGGCAAAGGCAGGAGAAAUGUGAUGGCAGACGUCGAAGCUCAAACUAAGAAAAUUGAUCAUUGUUCAGAAGAAAUUGAUAUUUUUCAAGAGUGAAACGGUCCCGUCGCAUUGAAGGUGAAAGUCAAGCUAUAAUAUUUAAUAUUAACUAAUAACUUCGGUAAUAUAAAGAUUGGUUUCUCUCUCUCUCUCUAUAUAUAUAUAUGUCAAGCAACUUAUACUAUCGUAUAUAUAUUUUCUAAUAUUUAUUCUAAACAUGUUUGAAAUAAGGUGUUAGACCUCUCAAUAGUUAUAAUGUUGAGACCAAACUAAUUUUAUUACCAUGAAGAUGUUAUAAAUUAAUAGAGUUAUAGUUAAAAAAAUUAUUAUUUUUUACUUAAUUAUUCUUAGUGGCCGUUUGGUGCAGUUAUACUGUGAGAAAUGAAUCCUUAAUACAAGUGAUAUUGAGUUAAUACAUGCAAUAUAUUAAUAAUUAAUUAACUAAGCACGUAAAAUUCAUUAUUAUUAAUAAACUAGUACAAGUGUCUAUGUUUGUCAAAAAUAUACAAAAUCAUCUUACAAAUAGUACGAGCCUGGCUUGAAAGCUCGAUAAAUACUUAAAAAUAAAAAAUAUGUAUUUUAUUUU
rnacentral:lncRNA from 1 species